GAUGAACGCUGGCGGCGUGCCUAAUACAUGCAAGUCGAGCGAACGGACGAGAAGCAUGCUUCUCUGCUGUUAGCGGCGGACGGGUGAGUAACACGUGGAUAACCUACCUAUAAGACUGGGAUAACUUCGGGAAACCGGAGCUAAUACCGGAUGAUAUUUUGAACUGCAUGGUUCAAAAGUGAAAGACGGUCUUGCUGUCACUUAUAGAUGGAUCCGCGCUGCAUUAGCUAGUUGGUAAGGUAACGGCUUACCAAGGAAACGAUGCAUAGCCGACCUGAGAGGUUGAUCGGCCACACUGGAACUGGGACACGGUCCAUACUCCUACGGGAGGCAGCAGUAGGGAUUCUUCCGCAAUUGGCGAAAGCCUGACGGAGCAACGUCGCGUGAGUGAUGAUGGUCUUCGGAUCUUAAAACUCUGUUAUUAGGGAAGAACAUAUGUGUAAGUAACUGUGCACAUCUUGACGGUACCUAAUCAGAAAGCCACGGCUAACUACGUG
rnacentral:rRNA from 1 species